GUGCUUGUCUGUGCAGCGUUCGGUGUUUUCUUCAGUAUGCGACCACGAAUGAGUGCAUCAUCAUGCAGGCUUUGGUGUUUUCUUCACUGCGGCCCUGAGGAGUUCGUCAAAGUGCAGGUUUCGGGGUUCUCGUCACCAUGUUUUCCUGGAGAAGAACUUCAUCGUGCAACUUUUGGUACUGUUUUCAUCUUGUUGCCCCUGAGAAGCGCUUCAUCUUCCCACAUUUGGUGUUUUUUUUUCUCGUUCCAGGCCCUGAGGAUUGCUUCAUCGUGCAGCUUCUGGUGUUUUCUUCAAUGCGGCCCCUGAGGAGUUCUGCAUCGUUCUGCUUUUGGGGUUCUCUUCACCACGAUUCCCAUGAGGAGAGCUUCUUCGUUCAGCUUUUGGUGUUUCUGCACUGCAGCCUCGGAGGAGUGAUUUGUUGAGCAGCUAUGGUUAUUUUCUUCACUGCGCCUUGAGGAGUGUUUCUGCAUCCAGCUUUUGGUGUUUCUUCACUGCAGUUCCUGAGGAGGGGUUUAUUGAGCAGCUCGUAGUGUGUCCUUCACGUUGCGAUACUUGAGGAGAUCUGCAUCGUCCAGCUUUUGGCGUUCCCCAUACCACAUUUCCCCUGAGGAGUUCUCCCUCUUGCAGUCUUUGGUGUUUACUUCUCUACGGCCCUGAGGAGUUCUUCAUCGUCCAGCGUUUGGGGUUCUCUUCACCACGUUUCCCGUGAGGAGAGCAAUAUCGUCUAUCUUUUGUGUUUUCUUCACCUUGUGGCCCCUGAGGAGUUCUUCAUCGUGCAGCUUCUGGUGUUUUCUUCACUGCGGCCCCGAGGAAUUCUGCAUUGUCCAACCUUUGGGGUUCUCCUCACCGUGUUUUCCCUGAGGAGAACUUCAUCGUGCAUCUGUUGGUAUUGUUUUCAUCUUGUUGCCCCUGAGAAGUGCUUCAUCAUCCAACCUUUGGUGUUUCUUUUCUCGUUCCAGGCCCUGAGAAGUUCUUCAUCGUUCAGGUUUUGGGUUUCUCUUCACUGCGGCCCGUGAGGAGUUCUGCAUUGUCCAGCUUUUGGGGUUCUCCUCAGCACGUUGCCCCUGAGGAGAGCUUCAUGGUCUAGCUUUCGGUGUUUUCUUUACCAUGGCCCUUGAAGAGUAAUUCUUCAUGGAGCUUUUUGUGUUUUCUUCUUCUUGUGACCCCCGAGGAAUGGUUUUGCAUGAAGAUUUUGGAGGUUUCUUCACUUCACGACCCCGGAGGAGUGCUUCUUCUUCCAGUUUUUUGCGUUUUCUGCACUGCGGCCCAAGAGGAGUUUCUUCUUCGUGCAUCUUUUAUGUUUUGUUCAUGUACAGCCCUUCAGGAGUGCUUCAGUGCAUGAACAUGGAGGAAUCCUGCAGCUUUUGUGGUGCUUUACUCUAGGACUCCUGAGGAAUGUUUCGCUGCAUGGCUGUUGGAUUCUUCUUAUUGCACAUUUUAGACCCAGUGCGACAGAGCAGAGACUGGAUUUUAUUUUGGUUAUUCCUCGAGUUGCUAGUGCAGAAUGAAGUGAGCCUGUGUUUGCUGAAUAACUCUGCUUCCCACAGCCCUCAUACCCUUCACCUGGGAGCCGUGCCAUGGGGAGACAGCUGAACAGGAAUCAGCCACGAUAGCACCACAUCUUUGCCUUUGCAACUAAAAAUUGGAGCGAGUCACAAAGGGGGCAAGGUUGCGUGUGUUUUAUUCACAGCAUGUUCCAUCUAAACUCUCCUAACAGCUCUCAGAAGGAUGCAGCACCCCAGUCCCCCUUGGCACAUCCCACCGCUCCUGCUGAAGCCCUCACUGCUGCCGUGCCACUGGAGCUAACGGGACGCCAAUGGCUACCGAGUCUUUACUGCCUCCCAGUGGGUGGGAGCUUGGGCUAGGGUGGCUGCUUCCCCUCCAUGGCAGAUGCUGCCUUCCUCCCAGCUAGAGCUUUUCUUUCUCUCCGUAGAUAUGGCUUAGGCAAGGAGAGCCCCAGGUGGGUGCAGGCCCUUCCCAGUUCCCUCGCUGAAGGUUGCCGUGCAGCGCAGGUGAGGAGGUGUUUCUGCAGGGAAGGGCACGAAGCAGCAGGGUAACACAGCCUGACAGGGAAGCAAGGGAGCACCACUAGGCAGCCGCGCUCCCUAGUGAGUGGAGCGGAUACAAAAAAGCUUUUCUAUUUUUUUUUCUCCUCACACAGCUCAUUUUAAGGAGCAUGGGUCUGGCCCGCUCCCUCACUGUUCUGCUCAGACCAGGAUCUGCCUGCCCCCACCCCAAGGGAGCCAGCCACUUGGGUCAGAGCCUGUCCCUUUUGCAUACUUCUGCCCUGAUAGGGA